CCCAAGACUGUCAGCCCUUCUCCAGGGCUAGCAACAAGCAGAGUGUAGCAGUGAGAAGAUGCUCUUGGCAGGCUCCAGAUAGCUGUGCCCUCAGCCCAGGAGGACUCAGCCAAUGAAGACUCAGCUAAUGAAAGCUCAGCAUGGAGGUGGCAAAGGGCUGCAGCCCCACCAAACUCUUUGCCUCCAGGCGCUGUGGUGGUGAAGAACUGAAAUACACAAACCUUGGGGCUUCCCCUUGUCCCUGAAACUGCAGAAGAUGCUGGCUCGGGAGAGCCCAGGUGAGAAAGCUGCUGCAGGAGCCAGAAACUUUGGCAAAGACUCUUUCUUUGCAAGUAAGAAAGCUAGUUGGGAAAGAGGACCAACUGUUCCUUCUAAAUUCCCAGGGAGUGGAGGGUACGUGAGGCCCUGUGAUUCAUUGGCCAGGAGUAUCUGCUCCAGCUGCCAGGCCAGAGUGAUCAAUCCAAAAGUGCUUCUGAAAAUGAGGCCAGACCCACAUUAAUGAAGCCUGAUUGCCUCAG
rnacentral:lncRNA from 1 species